rnacentral:rRNA from 1 species
AUUACUGAGUUUACGCUCUAUAACCCUUUGUGAACAUACCUAUAACUGUUGCUUCGGCGGGUAGGGUCUCCGUGACCCUCCCGGCCUCCCGCCCCCGGGCGGGUCGGCGCCCGCCGGAGGAUAACCAAACUCUGAUUUAACGACGUUUCUUCUGAGUGGUACAAGCAAAUAAUCAAAACUUUUAACAACGGAUCUCUUGGUUCUGGCAUCGAUGAAGAACGCAGCGAAAUGCGAUAAGUAAUGUGAAUUGCAGAAUUCAGUGAAUCAUCGAAUCUUUGAACGCACAUUGCGCCCGCCAGCAUUCUGGCGGGCAUGCCUGUUCGAGCGUCAUUUCAACCCUCAAGCUCUGCUUGGUGUUGGGGCCCUACAGCUGAUGUAGGCCCUCAAAGGUAGUGGCGGACCCUCCCGGAGCCUCCUUUGCGUAGUAACUUUACGUCUCGCACUGGGAUCCGGAGGGACUCUUGCCGUAAAACCCCCAAUUUUCCAAAGGUUGACCUCGGAUCAGGUAGGAAUACCCGCUGAACUUAAGCAUAUCAAUAAGCGGAGGAAAAGAAACCAACAGGGAUUGCCUCAGUAACGGCGAGUGAAGCGGCAACA